GCUUGUCUCAAAGAUUAAGCCAUGCAUGUUCAAGUAUAGCAAGUGUACAGUGAAACUGCGAAUGGCUCAUUAAAUCAGUUAUAAUUUAUUUGAUAGUGAAAUUGUACAUGGAUAACCGUGGCAAUUCUAGGGCUAAUACAUGCGUAAAAGGCCGACUUACGAAGGCCUGUAUUUAUUAGAUACAAUCAGCCCUCCGGGUUUUUGAUGAAUCAUAAUAACUGAACGAACCGCAUGCGCAAGCGGCGGUGGUUCAUUCAAGUUUCUGCCCUAUCAGCUUUCGAUGGUAGGGUAUUGGCCUACCAUGGCGUUAACGGGUAACGGAGAAUUAGGGUUCGAUUCCGGAGAGGGAGCCUGAGAAAUGGCUACCACAUCCAAGGAAGGCAGCAGG
rnacentral:rRNA from 1 species